rnacentral:rRNA from 1 species
GACGAACGCUGGCGGCGUGCUUAACACAUGCAAGUCGAACGAAGUGGCGAACGGGUGAGUAACGCGUAAUCAACCUGCCAUUCAGAGGGGGACAACAGUUGGAACCGACUGCUCAUACCGCAUGCUGAAGGAGGGGGUUUCGUCUGAUUCGAUAGGUGGAGGGGUAAAGGCCCACCAAGGCGAUGAUCAGUAGCCGGGCUGAGAGGAUGAACGGGCACAUUGGGACUGAGACACGGCCCAGACUCCUACGGGAGGCAGCAGGGGGGAAACUUCCGCAAUGGACGAAAGUCUGACGGAGCAACGCCGCGUGAGUGAUGACGGCUUUCGGGUUGUAAAGCUCUGUUAAUCGGGACGCGGUACCGGAAGAGAAAGCAACGGCUAACUACGUGCCAGCAGCCGCGGUAAUAC